ACUGGGGUAGGGUGAGACUCCAAUGAUGUAAAGAGGGUGGCAAUCUUCCUGUUUACCAGCCAGCUCACCCCUGUGUGGUGCACAGUUCAGCUGGAAUUGCUGCUUACUCAUCUUCAAGUCUGCAUCGCUCUUCUCUUGUUUCCUGCAUUCCAGUCUGAUUCUGGCAAAGUUCGCUUCAAGGUCAAAGCUGUCAUUUACUGAAUUACUCAGCAGCUCCCAAAUGACUUUCGUCAGUCAUACUCCUUCCUGAGUGAUAGCGAUGAACCUUGACAUAAAAGAUGUGACUUUCUAAAGCCCUGUGCCGCUCAGGAGCCCCCCAAGAGCCCCUUCACCAUGACCACGGGACACAGGAGAGCUUAAAGACUGUGACACCCAGCAGAGGCUUUGGCCCAUCUGCAGAUGUGGCCAAAUUGUCUCUUGGAGAAAUACUGCUCUAGGGCCUUGCAGCUUUCAAGUUUACUUUGGAGAAUUCUCAUUCAAGCUCUUGGAUCUACUGGCUUGUGAGAUUUGAGGGAAACAAAGAUGAUGUAGUGGAGAUUUGCAGAGCUACCUAAAGCAACUUGAGCAAGUGUGUUAUUGUUGCAGAAAAAGGAAUGGCCAUGUUCUUGGGAAAUUUGAUUUGUUCAAUAACAAAUCAUCCCAGAAAAACGACAUGGCAUGCUCAAAAUGUCACAAGGCUAGUUGCAAAAUAUUCCAGUGUUGAAUCCUUUAUUCAAUAAUAUUGACUGUCACCUAGAGGUUACAGCCCAAAGGAGAAUAUCAAAUUAUGUGAGAUUUUUAUCUGCGGCACAUAUGUCAAGCUCAAAAGAAAAUCAUAUUAAAGCAAAACCAAAAGCGUCUGAGCGUCUUUCUGGAGCCUCAGAAAUGGCAGACUUCUCCUGAGAUUAAGGUUAGCGUUCCCUGGUGAUGUCCGUUAGCGUGAGGCCAGAGGCGACACCACAACCACUCCAUCCAAAGGCUUGCCCAGUCUUGGGUGAGAGGAGCAAUUUACAGCUUCCAGUGCCAGAAUAUAAGCUCCAUGAAGAUAGAGAUCGUAUCUGUCUAAAUCAUCACACGUCACGCUGUAUACAACAGAAUCUAGCAGCACUUCCAUAGGGAGGAGGAAAUGCGAGAGGCCAUUCCUGCCACGUUAUUCCCACUGCCUCUAACUUCAGUGACGUCUGACGGAGUGGGGUGGACCUUUAAAGACACAAUAGGACCAAGACCUGUAACUGGACGGGGAACAAGCUUGCACUGAAUCCCUAGCUCCAGCCAGAAGCUUCUUCCAUAGGAGGCGUCACUAGCGGUCCCUGUCACUGGGCUAAGUCUGUAAUUGGACUUUUUAUGUUCUUUCUCUCUAGUUAUACUCCAGCUUUUAAGAUGUAGGAUUCUGGCUUCUACCUCAUUCCGCUUUCUUUACCCUCACUUAA